CUCGGGAUGCUGCGGGAGCGACGGUCGGAGCGCUACAGGAGAUCCGGAUCGGGGGCUGGUGCUGCGUAGAGCCCGAGGUGCUCAGGUGGGAAGAGCCACUCCGGUAUGGCUGCUAGGACCGUGCCUGGUGCUGCUCCUCCAGCUGCGGCCAGUGCGGUACUGGGGUCCCGCCGGGGCCGAAUGAUCGCGGUAGGAUUGGGACCAGGACCGGACCGGCAUCGCUACAGGAAGACGGCGCUUCCCUGGAGCAGCUGCUGGAUCACGGCUGGAAACGGGUAAAGCAGGGGAAUCGCCUGUGGCAGCCCAGUGACCGAAUCGGCAUCGCCGCUCCCUCAGCGCCGCCGCCCGUCCCGCAGGGCGCCCCCUGGCGGACACGGCACCGCUCUUCAGCCCUGUGGAGACACCGAGCCCGGCCCGGCAGCACCGCGGGCACCGCGCUCCCCUGUACCGGGACACCGCACUCCCCUGUGAGA